GAAAACGUUUAUGAUUAAAACAAAGGGAAUGGCAGAAGACGUCAGCGAAGUCAUCCGUAGUCUGAUGACGGAUGAACUUCUGGACAAAUUUAAUUGGGAAGGGCGGUGGGAGAAGAAAGCGCUUGGGAAUUUGACACUCUUCAAUAAGCUUUUAAGAGAUGUCUUUCCCAAGCAAUCUUCCAUCGAGUUUGAGAGGGGUUUGAGGAAGGCUGUGGACAAAAGC